GCGGCCGUAGUCGUGACAAUGAGGAAGUGUCGUUCCGAAAGGCAUGUUUGUGAGAUGGAGAUACAUAGACGGCGUUAGAUGUCGAUGUGUUCAGGGUCACAGAGAAGCUGGAGCCUAUCCCAUGUGCGGGGUUGCUUCUCAGCCAAGGGAGUGCGCUCACUGACAAUGUUGCCCAAGAACAAAGAAUGGUAUCAAAACAUCCUCCGAGAGCAACUUCGCCCAACCAUCCAAGAACAGUCUGGUGACAACUAGUGCUUUUUCCAGCAUGAUGGAGCACCUUGCCUAGGGGUGCCACAAAGGGGGGAAAAGUUGGGACAAUUCCAAGGGCCCGUGCCUGACAGGGGCCCCAGUAAAUAGGGUCGCGGGGGUAUGAUGGAGCCUAUCCAAGCUGACUCUGGGCGAGAGGCGGGGUACACCCUGGACUGGUCGCCAACCAAUCGCAGGGCCCGGAAACUCCUCAGACCUUAAACCCUUUUCAGGACUGACCGCGAGUCCUCAGAGGCAGGUGGACAAACUCCAAGCAUUGAUUAUGCAAGAACGAGCUGCCAUCAGUUAGGAUGCGGUCCAGAAGUUAACUGGCAGCAUUCCACGGUCAAAUGAAAAAGGGUCGACACUGCAGAUACUGACGCUUUACAUGAACCUCAUGUAACUUUCAAUAAAAUCGCUUGGAACUCCAUUCAGUGUAUCACAGUAACAUAUGACGAAAAUAUUUGCAAACUUUGCGAAAACCAAAAAGGGUGCAACGUUCAAACCCAAAGUGGCGAGGGACGACGUGUAAAUUGCCAUCAUAAAAACUGAGGCAGCAGACUUUGAGAAAAUGAUUUGCGCCAUUCUCACAACUUUUGGCCGUGACUGUACAGUGAAACUGUAGAAACCUCAACUUUGCUGAAAAAAAAUAGCCAAUGAAAAAGUGGUAAACGAUUUGAUCGAUUGAUCCUUCGAGGGUUACACCUGCUCCAAGUAUGGACAAAAAGACGAACAGUAAGAAUAAAAACCAGCUGACAUAAAUGGUUUGAUUAAAUGUGUAUUUCACAAACAAUCCCAAAACAUAGGACACAUAC